ACUAAGGAAGCCAGAGUUUCUGGAAGAGAGCAAGCCAGAGAGACAGAAAAGCAGGAGACGAAGUGAGAGAUAAUGGUGCCAGGAUGUACAGAGCCUCAUAAGCCUCUCUAAAGAUGAUGGCUUGGACUCUGAUGAGAUGGGAACUCAAUGGAAAGUUGUGAGAGAAGGACCAACACAAUGUGGCUGGCUGCUGAGAGUGGACUGGUGACUGUGUGAGCAAGUGUGGAAUCAGAGACAUUUGUUAAGAAACUACUGCAAUAAUUCCAUCAAAAGAUAAUAGUGGCUUUAUAAAAGGUGGAAACAACAGACGCGGGAAGAUGAGGUACCACCUCUUAUUCAUCCAACUUCGGACUGCCAGAAAUGUGUUUGCAUCUUCUUUCCUCUCCCUAUCCAAAUACACCCAAUCACCAAGCAGCAGCUGCCACACCAUUCCCACCCCACCAGUGUCACUGUCACAGAAGCUGGAGAGUCUUAAUAGAUGAUUCAAUCCAGCCCCGAAUGUUGAAGAUGAGGAAACUGAAGGAAAC
rnacentral:lncRNA from 1 species